GGAAUAUUUGCUCUUCAAAUGCAGCUGAGCUGAAUUAACAGACAAGUCCAGAAAUUACAAAAUACGGAGGUCACACUAUUACAACACCUUUUACUAACAAAAUAUAGACUUGUGUACAGAUACAUCUUUAGCAAGUAGCCAUAGACUUGCAAACAAUUUCUGAAACUUGUGUACAGAUACAUUUCACCAGCAUUAAGUUUUCAACAAGGAACUUUUCUACAGAUAGACAAAAGAAAAAUAUUCACCCAUUUCCCUUUUAGUAAUGCAAACUAUGCUGCAAUAUGUUCCCCUUUCAGCUGCCUACACUUGUAUUUCACUGGUAUGAAGAGCAACUUUUUCGAGAAUAGCAGGCCUCCAAGUUGCAAUCUCUUGCUCAUUCAACUGACGACUACUAUUUUGGGCUGUGCUAUGGCUUCUGUUUCUAGCAAUGGGAAUAUCAUGAUUGUGCUUGCCCUCAUAUGUUGUUAUGACAGCUUUUGGAUCUGCUGAAGCUCUCUCAACAUGUUUACGAACAUUGCAUCCAGGGUAUGUGCAACGAUAAUAACUCCUUGGAUGAUGAUUCCCUUUCACCAUUUUCUGUCCAUAUUUACGCCACUUGAACCCGUCAUCCAAAAUGUCUACUUCACUCCUUGUCUGCACAACAAUCUUGGAUUCUGGUUCUGCUUUAUGUGAUGAUGAAAGAAUAGGAGUCUCAACUGUUGUCUUCAUUCUCUUCACAUUUGGUUCAUCAUCAUGUUCCUUGCUUGCUGCUGUUUCAGCAUCCUCACAUUCAUUCGAAACAGAACGUUCACACGCCAUUUCAGUAGACACCUGUUCAGAAUGAGCAACAAGAGCCCCAUUUAAGCCGUUGAUUUCUAGCUCAGUAUGUGUUCCAGUUUCAGGGUUAAUAUUGGAGCAGUCUGAACCAUCCUGAGCACAACUGUCUCUUCUGCGUUUGUUGGGUUGAGGAAGUUCAUGGUUGUGAUGGCCUUUAUAGGUUAUCUCAGUUAUGUGACCAUCAAUGGAUCGCUCAACCUUCUUCUUGACAAGACAUUUGAGAUGUGUGCAUUUAUAGUAGCUCCGAGGGCAUUCACUUGCUUUAACCAUCUUCUGGCCAUACUUCCUCCAAUUGUAACCAUCAGAAGCUGGUCUAUCGACUGAAUUAAAGGAUGGUUUGUCCUCAGAUUGCGAAAGCUGUGGCAGUUCAAAUUUCUUACUCUUCUGGUCUGACGACAUAGUAUCUAAUUGAGGUUGUAAAGAAGACUCCUCUGGGUCAGAUGCCCCUAAUACUUGUACUGAUUUACUUUGCGAGGGGAAAUGGCAUUCAGCUUGAGUUUGUAAGUAAGACUGGGAUAACGCUG
rnacentral:misc_RNA from 1 species